rnacentral:lncRNA from 1 species
UGGAGGGGCCGAGCAAGGCACUUCACAUACAAUGCAAGGUCUCAAUGCUCACAACAGCCCUGGGAAGUAGGUUUUACUAUUCGCAGUGUAUAGACGAGGUAACCGCUCAGAGAGAUUAGCUUUCCCAAGAGCUCCCAGCUUUUAAGUGGAAGAUCUAAAUCCUAAAUCUGUUCGACUAAAAGCCCGGAGUAACUGGGCGGAGGGCCUUGUGCCGCUCCGUGCUGGUCUGAGGUCGGGAACUGUGAAUCAUAUUUAUUUAUGCAACGCUGAGCACGUGUCUGUGUGUGUAAUUCACAAACGAAAAAACAAAUCCAGGUCCGGGUAUCUGUUCUCUGGAAGUUUAGAAGCCUGCGUGGUGGAGAGCUGCCAAAGUCUGCCCUCAUUCAUUCGCUCCUUGGAUCCCGUAAGAAGUGUUUGUGGCGCACUUGGGUAUUCCGGGCGGGGCGCUAAACUAGAAGAGGGGACGGCGAGCCGGCUGCUCCCCAGCCUGACUUGACUUUCUCCGGGGCAAGGGUUAGGGUUAAGGGAAGCAGAAACGGUAUGGAGCCGGCUGGGGCGCGAGCCGCACCGGCGGCGGGGAGCGGGGGGGCGGCGAGCGGCGGCUGGCCGGGGCGGGCGGGCGCCCGGAGGCGGGCUCCCCGAGGCGAGCCCGGGGCCUCCGGCGGAGCGUCUCGGAGCAGCGGCGGUGGAGAGCCGGGCGAGGGGCCGCGGCACGCGGGCGGGCGGCCGGGCCGGGCGGGCGCGUUAGGGUUAGGGAGGGAGGAUUCGGCUUCCCGGCGGCAGAGGGCGCCUGGCGCUGCCGGCCGGGGCCGCGCGCCCGGGCGCCGGGAGGCGAGGCGGGGAGCGUGAGCGGCGGCCACCGCCACGUCUUCCCGGCAGCGGCAGCGCAGGCGGAGGUGAGCGGCGGCGCGGGCCGGGCCAGGCCGGGCGGGGGGCGGCGGCCCCGUGGUUCCCGCCGCGCCCGCCCGGCGCAGAGCCGGGCGGCUGCCGAGGCCCGGGCCCGGAGCGCGUCCCGAGCGCAACUCGUGCCGGCCGCGGGCGGGGGCCGCGGGGCCGCGCGUCUCUGCGCGGGGCCGGGGUCUCCGCGCUGCGGGCUGGAGCCGCGGCCGGGAAAGUUGGGGCAGACCGCGAGCCCCGGCCGGGCGGGAAGUGCGGGCGCGCGGCGGCCCCGGGGGACUGGGGCACGCGGGGCGCCGGAGGCGGCGGGCGCGGGUGUUCGGCGCGCGGAAAGGAAGGGGCGCGAUCGGGGUCCCCGGCUGGAGUCCGCAGGUACCCGGCGGGGCCCGUGCCUGGAGUGGAUGAGCAGUGGAUCCACUUGGAGCAGCCUUGCUCGAAGAAUACCCCCAGGAUCUCUCCUUGCUGUGGGAAUAAUCCAAAUCACCUUUCCUGGAAGUCAGUUUGCUGAAACUACUGAAGCCAGCAGUUCUUGGAAGUUGAAGAAAAGGAGAUCCGGCGCCUUGACCUGAGGGGUGUGGCCCUCCCGUCGGAACCGGCUCCAGACGCGCCCUCCUAGCAGCCCAGGAAGAUGCGGCAGCUCAAGGGGAAGCCCAAGAAGGAGACGUCCCGGGACAAGAAGGAGCGGAAGCAGGCCAUGCAGGAGGCGCGGCGGCAGAUCACCACGGUGGUGCUGCCCACGCUGGCCGUGGUGGUGCUGCUCAUCGUGGUGUUCGUGUACGUGGCCACGCGCCCCGCCAGCACCGAGUGAGGGCGCAGACGAGUGGCUUCCGUGCACAGGGUUUCCUGAGCUCUGAGCAGGGGCCCCCUGUCUUCUCUGGUCUGUGACUUGAUUAAAGUUUCUCCACUUUUCUCGGGAAGGGAAUAGGGAACGUUUUAUCACUGAAUGUGCCAUACACCUUACGGUCCACUUCAUGUGCCUUUCAGACUUCAAAGCCGUGUGUGUGUGUGUGUGUGUGUGUGUGUGUGUGUGUGUGUGUGUGUGGUGUGGUGUGUGUUUCUCUCCUCUAAUCAAUAUGUCAACAGCUUCACCUGGUGAGAGGAGGAAUCUCUGGGUCACGGAUCAGUUGGGAUCAGUGCUUCUUACCCCAUCCCUGUCGCUUUGAACAUGACUCUUUCCUACACGUGUUCACGAUUUCCGAAGGGACUGUAAUUCUUCUCUGUGCUUCAUGUGAUUUGAAAUAUAUGUCGACUCAAAAGUGAAAUAUUUAUUUUUUGAAUAAAGGAGAUAAUAGCCUUA